UUGUAAUUGCAGGGUGAACUUUCUGAAAUGGGCAAGUAGCCAACGCCAAGCCGACUAUGGGUCUACGUGUGUAAAUUGACCGCUAAAUCAGCUGAGUAGGCUACAACUAUAGAACGACAUGAACCAAUCUGCUUCUACCUGUGGAAAGGUACAGUUUAAGGUUAAUGUUUAACAUUCCGCUCCAACAAACUGCGUAAGACCGACCUCUAGUGGAAAACAAUGACAUCUCUAGGCUCCCUUGCAUCUCGUUUGAUGAGAAUAUUUUGGGAAAUCCUACCGGUGGUCCCAAAAUGGAAAACACAGUGGAAAGGAAACUGAAUGCUGAUGCAGUCAUCUUCUAAUCACUGCUUGACUGGACACCAGCUAAAAAUGCUCCGGGAAGUUGAAGGGGAUUGGGAGAAGCGAACACAGAGCUGAUCAGAAUGGCCUCUGGAACUGAUGCACUUCUCUGACUCAAUUCCUGUGACUGUUGAGCCUACUGCUGUAAUUAGUGCACUGGUCUGGACUUUAGUCCUAGUUUGAGAACUCUUUGAAAUACUUAGUCUUAUAAGUUACAAUCAUAUAUAAUAUAAUAAAAUAUAAUAAGUAUUCAGCGGAUACUGUAGGAUUUCCUUCAUUGUCUGAAAUUGUGCAGAGUUUUUGUACACCUAGUGAAUUCAGGACAUUGAGGCUUAAUAUAAUCGUUUCAAAACAUGUAAUGUUUAAGGGUGUCAAUAGUGUUCUGAAAAGGGUUAAACAUACAAAAAUAUGAAAAACAUUUGUCAUUACAGUAUAUGAGUGGAAAGUUCAGUCAGUGUUUUUAUAUAGUUUUCAAAGAAUCAUGGCACAAAAAGUAAUAUCGAACUGAGGUCAUGACAACAAAAAAGAGGGACCCACGUUAUUUUCCUUGUCCUCUACUCUUG